CAGGCACCUGCCUCCCAGCCCUUCUCAUGGCCUGCAGGGCUUAGGGAUAAUAAUUGGCCGCAGUUGAGGCAAGGCUGCAUGGGGACCUUAGAUGCUGGCCAUAUGAACCUUGACCCCAAAGGGGGCCGAAAUUGACCUCUGGGCCAGGAUGGAUCCAUUGCUUUGUCUUGGAGGAUGGAAGUCAGGGGUGUGUGGUAGGGUUUGUGCACCUUGGGUGCUGUGAGUCCGUUGUCUUGGGGGAUAUAUGUGUAUGUGUGUGUGGCAGUGCAUCCAUUAAUGGUGUCAAUAUGCCUUUGUGGAUUCCUGUGCAUAUGUAUAUGCCAAAGUCAUAUACGUGAGUUUUGGUUGAGGUUGAGAGAAUUCAUACAUGCCUUUGGUGGCUGAUUCAAGGUGGCUCUUUCCCUCUUUUCCUUCUGGUGCUGUGUUUUCCUUUUUGGACCUUUUACAAUUGUUAACAUGUUUUCAUACCAUUGCUUGUUCAGUUGUUCUUCAUUUUAAUGAUGUUUCCUCGGUUUGUAUCCACACCUAAACCAACCAAACAGAUAAAUCAUAUGCCCAAGUGAUACUGUGUUUGCUUGUUGUGAUUGCUUAGGGGAAAUACUCUGUACAUGCUCAAAGGCAAUGAAAUGCCACAUUUCAGACUUUCAUAGUGAAGCAGCUUCUAAGCAAGUUUUGUUCAGAAGCAUCUCUGUGAUGAAGGGACACAUUUUUCUGUGUCUGGUUAGAGCUCUUUCCAUCCAGACUAAUAUAUAUAUAUAUAUUAUUGCAGUUCAACUUGUUUAAAGACACCAAGGAUGGUGUGUGCAUUAUAAUUAUAUUAAUUUCUAUAUAGGCAGGAGAAGUGAGCAUAGAGCAGAUGUGGGAGACUUGAAUGGGCAUUAUAAUACUUUCUGAAUCCCGAAUACUGGGUUGUGAUUGCAUGAGUGUCCUAGAAAAAGUAUUGUAGAAAUAAGAGAGACAAAUGUUAGUUGUGUUUGUAAUAGUGGAAAUGCGCACAUUGCAUGUUAGAACUCUGGUUACCGAAAACUGGAUUGCAUAGACAUCAGUGUGGAUGCAUUGAUGUUUCUGGUGAAAGGACUUAUUACAUAUGAUUCAUUACAACAGUUUGCCGGGUGUUAGGAUUUCUGGGAGUUGAAGGUCAAAACAUCUGGGGACCCACAGGUUGAGAACCACUGCACUACAAGAUUUAGAUAUAUAUGACAUUGUAGAAUCCCAUAUAUGUCUAUAUACAAAGCCUUUCUGGUUUCGGUGAAAUUUACUAGAAUAAUGUGCAUAUGAUUGAAGCCUUCAGCCCACCGAAUUCAACCAUCUAAAUCCUAGUUAUAGUCUUGUCUAGAGUAGAGUCAUUAAAUACACUGGAUUUGCUUACUUAGUUGUUACUUAAGGGGAGUUUUCUGUGUUUGGGACUAGCUAACAGGAUUGUAGAUAAUAGAAACAUAGUGUCCACAGUUAUAAUAACUAUGUAUUCAUAUGAAUAUGUGUGCAUAUGCCUUCAUGUGUGUAUGAUAUUACCCGGUGUAUUCUAGAGGUGGACUGGGGACCAGUCUGUGUGGCCCUUGUAGUGACUCUGGGCAAAAUAAUUCACCUCCAAAUACCUGGCACAGUUCUUUCACCUUGGCAUAUGCAAACUGAUCAUUUCUUUUUGUAGGCCAUUGAUUGGGUAUUUCUGUGUGUAAUGGGAUUAUUUCUUGGCCAGUACAAGGAGAGAUUUGCUUCGUAAACUGUGUGUGGGUGUUUUAGAUCUCUGAUGGUACAACCUGUACAUGUCAGCUGAGCCUGAAAAUAGUGGAAGUAACACCCAGGUAAUAGUGUUAGGAACUGCAGUUUCUGUGUAGCAUAGAAAAAGAAUGGAGAGGCAAUGUGGUGGAGCAGUUUGACUUGGACUUGUGAGAUUCAGAUUUGAGCCUCCACUGAAUAAUAAUAAUAAUAAUAAUAAUAAUAAUAAUAAUAAUAAUAAUAAUAAUUUUAUUUUUGUAUGCCACCUCCAUCUCCCCAUGGGGACUCAGAGCGGCUCACAUGGGGACAAGCCCAAUCAAAUACUUGUCUCCUUGAUUUCAAGUCUCCUGAGUGACUUGAGAUCAGUUACUCUCUUUCUGACUUAACUCAAUAAUUGUUGUGUGAAUAAAGAGAAGAUAAUAUUCUUGAGCUCACUGGUAGGAAGACAUGAGUCUAACUAAUACCUAAGGUAAUAUGAUUGUGCACCAUUUUUAUGCUUUGUGGGUAUGUUAGAGCAAGCAUUACAUGACUCAGAAAUAUAUGAAUUCUGUUAAAACCCAAACUUGUGCAUUGUCUACUUCUGCUAGUUAAAGAAAUUUUGUGGCAGCCAAAAGAUAAUUAAAAAAAUGAAAAUGAA